rnacentral:rRNA from 1 species
UACAGAGGGUGCUAGCGUUGUUCGGAAUCAUUGGGCGUAAAGGGCGUGUAGGCGGUUUGUUAAGUCAUGUGUGAAAGCCCCCGGCUCAACCGGGGAACGACGCAUGAAACUGGCAAGCUAGAGUACCGAAGAGGGGGGUGGAAUUCCCGGUGUAGUGGUGAAAUGCGUAGAUAUCGGGAGGAACACCAGUGGCGAAGGCGGCUAUCUGGGUUGUAACUGACGCUGAGGCGCGAAGGCUAGGGGAGCGAACAGG